rnacentral:lncRNA from 1 species
CUCAACCACAAUUGAGUGAACCAAAGAGGUCCACUGCCAGUGGGAGAUGCACCAUUCUUCAAUUGUGCUUGAAGAGAGGCCAUGCCUCUAUAAAGGGCAGCAAAAAACAAAGAACAUAAAUUCAAAGGCCUGCCACGCGCCAAUUCGUGCGCUAUAGGUAAAUAACUCAGAGAGGGCUUUAUACUUGACACGCACAAAAUAUAUUUACAAAGCCAAACUAAAAGGAAGGCCACUCGCUCAGUAUGUGUAGGCUCAGCACUCGAAUGAUUGUGGAGGGUCUGCAGGCUUGAAUAAGAGUCGGUAUAGUUUUUACCAAACUUUGGGGCACCACCAGAAACUAAGAUACCUGGGAAAAUAGUAUCGCCCAAAGGUGGUAGAUUCACCAGGGCCCCAACAUCCCUUAACGUAAUAGACAUGGGGCCAAGAGGGAAAAUAAAGGUGUUAUACUCAGGGGACCAAAAACUCAAAGCAAUCGAAAAGAGCGCUGAAUCAAAAGUAGGGGGGCGAAUAGAGACUUCUAACAAAUCAGAAAUCCUAGCGCUAUCAAAAAGUGCCUUAGUAGGACCAUGACCCACAAGACGAGUAUGCCACCUAUGAAAAGCUACAUCAGACUUAGGCCAAGUGCGAAUACCUCUUUCGCGAAGUGGCCCCAGCAGUAGAAAGUUCAGGAAUGGAGGACCCUGAGUGCAGGAAAACAGCUGACCCGCCGCCGCCUGUUCAACUGCCUUUGCAUUGUUGAAGAAAGGACCCAAGUAGAACUCAUUACAUCCAACGUCGGCGGGUGCGAGAAAACUUGGGGUUAUGUAUGGGCGACUCAGAAGUCUCUGAAAGUCAUUAAAACUAAAGGAGUCGCUAGCUUGAGAUUGUGAAGCAGCCAUUGGAGAAGGAACGAAGCUUUUCAGGGUUACGUAACAAGGAAGCAAAAGAUGAACAGUGAAUCGUGAAAGAGACGCAAAAAAAUAUGAGGCGUGGUUUGGUAGCAGUGAAAUGGCGUGUUUGGGGUUUAUAAGGGUUUGCAAAACGACGCACCUUUUCAAGUUAUAGAAGGAAACAAUGAUUGAAAUUUUUGGGAAUUUCGAACGUUGCUGGAAACACAAAGUGAAUAUGGCAAAAUUCAAUAAUUAUUAUUAAUUCUGCCAUAUUGGGGGGUAAUUGUUGACACAUAAAAAUUCAGUCCAAAUCGAACGGCCCAAGGAGUAAAGCCCAAUUGGAGGAUCCCCAAAUCAGAUAGCCCAAAGAACGAAGUCCAAUCGAACGAAUCAAGGUGAAGGCCCAAAUAAGGGGGCCCAAGAAUGCGGUAACGCCAUCGCCCAAGUUUGCAAGUAGCCCAGAAUCUGAACGAAUAGAGUGUCAUACGGUCGCCCAGAUCUGUUAUUCUAUUCUCGCCCAAACCUUCAAGUCGCCCAAGGUAUUAACAGACAUAACGCGUCGUGGUUAUCAAGAAAUGCAGUUAUCAAGGCAGUUGUUAAAGCAGCCCUAUCACGUUCCACGACUUAGGGAAUUCAAUCGAAAGCGGUUGAACGAUGAAAGGUAAUGGCAGCAGUUAAAAGGCAGUUUUCAUGACAAAAUGACCACUACGAAGAAAGUGGGUAGUUAUAGGACGAUCAAACAGUUUUUAGAGUAGUUAAUCACAAAGAGAUCGUCUAUGAAGUAUAAAAGAAAGAACGGACAUAGAAGCAAAGGACCGAAUCCAAAACUCUCGAACAGAGAAUAUGUAAUUUUCAUUUCCUUAGUUUUUAGACUUAAACACUUUUCUUUCUGUAACUCGUGUGCUUGCACCCCUUGGAGACACGUUGUUUUUCAUUUCCAAUUGUAAAGUUCAUCGCCAAUAAAAGAACACCCUUUCUUGGGACUUUGUCUCAAGAGGUUUGUCCCUUACACAAUCG